AUUGAACGCUGGCGGCAGGCUUAACACAUGCAAGUCGAGCGGGCGGCGGACGGGUGAGUAAUGGCUGGAAAACUGCCUGAUGGAGGGGGCUGACUACUGGAAACGGUAGCUAAUACCGCAUACGGUCAGAUGUGCCCAGAUGGGAUUAGCUAGUUGGGGGGGUAAUGGCUCACCUAGGCGACGAUCCCUAGCUGGUCUGAGAGGAUGACCAGCCACACUGGAACUGAGACACGGUCCAGACUCCUACGGGAGGCAGCAGUGGGGAAUAUUGCACAAUGGGCGCAAGCCUGAUGCAGCCAUGCCGCGUGUGUGAAGAAGGCCUUCGGGUUGUAAAGCACUUUCAGCGAGGAGGCGUUACCUGAAGAGGAAGCACCGGCUAACUCCGUGCCAGCAGCCGCGGUAAUAC
rnacentral:rRNA from 1 species